AAGAGUUCUUAACUUCUGCAAAGUUACUACCAAAAUCUUAACCUUUGAAUACUUUUCUAUCUUCCAUUUUCUUAGGAGAACAGCUCUUUCAUUAUAAGCAGCAAAAUUCCCAAGAAGAAAAAAUCAAAGCCAGAAACAAAACGUGCAAAAUCAACUGAAGUGAUUGAAACGGAGAACAGCUCUUCCAUUAUAAGCAGCAAAAUUCCCAAGAAGAAAAAAUCUAAGCCAGAAAUGAAACAUGCAACAUCAACUGAAGUGAUUGAAAUGGAGAACAGCUCUUCCAUUAUAAGCAGCAAAAUUCCCAAGAAGAAGAAGUCAAAGCCAGAAGUGAAACAUGCAAAAUCAACUGAAGUUAUUGAAAUAGAGGAGGAGGAAGACUGCUGCUGAGAACUCUGGGCUUCUGCAAGGUUCACCUUGGUGAACAAAAAACUUAGAAAUGAGGUGGCACUGGUCACUCAUCAGACACCUUUGUCACCUACUUGGUUUAAACCGUUGGUCUGAAGUCAGUGUUGAGCUAUCAACUGACCAACCUAGUCAGAUUGUGUUUAAGUUUAUGUUGCUUUUGGAAGAUGAAACACUGCUUAGUUCUCUUGAUGUGCAAGACUCUGCAGAUGAACACACCACCUCUGCAGCAGUGAGCAGUUGUAACUUUUAUGGUGUGAUUGAAUUCUUGCAGCUGUUUGCCCUUGUGAUGUGCAAGAUCUCUUACUUCGGUGGACUUCUGUGGAACAUGUGA
rnacentral:lncRNA from 1 species